CCUACGGGUGGCUGCAGUGGGGAAUAUUGGACAAUGGGGGGAACCCUGAUCCAGCCAUGCCGCGUGUGUGAAGAAGGCCCUCGGGUUGUAAAGCACUUUCAGUGAGGAAGAACGCCUGGUGGUUAAUACCCAUCAGGAAAGACAUCACUCACAGAAGAAGCACCGGCUAACUCCGUGCCAGCAGCCGCGGUAAUACGGAGGGUGCGAGCGUUAAUCGGAAUUACUGGGCGUAAAGCGCGCGUAGGUGGCUUGAUAAGCCGGUUGUGAAAGCCCCGGGCUCAACCUGGGAAUGGCAUCCGGAACUGUCAAGCUAGAGUGCAGGAGAGGAAGGUAGAAUUCCCGGUGUAGCGGUGAAAUGCGUAGAGAUCGGGAGGAAUACCAGUGGCGAAGGCGGCCUUCUGGACUGACACUGACACUGAGGUGCGAAAGCGUGGGUAGCAAACAGGAUUAGAUACCCUAGUAGUC
rnacentral:rRNA from 1 species